AAAAACCCAGGUGGUGUGAGAUGGAUCCGCGUCUGAUUAGCCAGUUGGCGGGGUAACGGCCCACCAAAGCGACGAUCAGUAGCCGACCUGAGAGGGUGACCGGCCACAUUGGGACUGAGACACGGCCCAAACUCCUACGGGAGGCAGCAGUGGGGAAUAUUGCACAAUGGGCGCAAGCCUGAUGCAGCGACGCCGCGUGAGUGAAGAAGUAUCUCGGUAUGUAAAGCUCUAUCAGCAGGGAAGAAAAUGACGGUACCUGACUAAGAAGCCCCGGCUAACUACGUGCCAGCAGCCGCGGUAAUACGUAGGGGGCAAGCGUUAUCCGGAUUUACUGGGUGUAAAGGGAGCGUAGACGGCGACGCAAGUCUGGAGUGAAAGCCCGGGGCCCAACCCCGGGACUGCUUUGGAAACUGUGCUGCUGGAGUGCAGGAGAGGUAAGUGGAAUUCCUAGUGUAGCGGUGAAAUGCGUAGAUAUUAGGAGGAACACCAGUGGCGAAGGCGGCUUACUGGACUGUAACUGACGUUGAGGCUCGAAAGCGUGGGGAGCAAACAGGAUUAGAUACCCUGGUAGUCCACGCCGUAAA
rnacentral:rRNA from 1 species